rnacentral:rRNA from 1 species
UACGUAGGGGGCAAGCGUUGUCCGGAAUCAUUGGGCGUAAAGCGCGUGUAGGCGGCUCGGUAAGUCUGCUGUGAAAGUCCAGGGCUCAACCCUGGGAUGCCGGUGGAUACUGUCGAGCUCGAGUCCGGAAGAGGCGAGUGGAAUUCCUGGUGUAGCGGUGAAAUGCGCAGAUAUCAGGAGGAACACCAAUGGCGAAGGCAGCUCGCUGGGACGUUACUGACACUGAGGCGCGAAAGCGUGGGGAGCGAACAGG